rnacentral:rRNA from 1 species
GAUGAACGCUAGCUACAGGCUUAACACAUGCAAGUCGAGGGGAAACGGCAUCGAAAGCUUGCUUUUGAUGGGCGUCGACCGGCGCACGGGUGAGUAACGCGUAUCCAACCUGCCCAUCACUUGGGAAUAACCUUGCGAAAGUAAGACUAAUGCCCAAUGACAUCCCACGAAGGCAUCCGAAUAGGAUUAAAGAUUUAUCGGUGAUGGAUGGGGAUGCGUCUGAUUAGCUUGUUGGCGGGGUGACGGCCCACCAAGGCAACGAUCAGUAGGGGUUCUGAGAGGAAGGUCCCCCACAUUGGAACUGAGACACGGUCCAAACUCCUACGGGAGGCAGCAGUGAGGAAUAUUGGUCAAUGGGCGAGAGCCUGAACCAGCCAAGUAGCGUGCAGGAUGACGGCCCUAUGGGUUGUAAACUGCUUUUAUAAGGGAAUAAAGUGGGUCACGUGUGACUUUUUGCAUGUACCUUAUGAAUAAGGACCGGCUAAUUCCGUG